rnacentral:rRNA from 1 species
GUACCCGCAAAGUUCUUUGAAAAGUAGAUAAACAUGGUAAAGAGAGCGCAACGAAGAAAAUGAGGGCGCACAGUGGAUGCCU